rnacentral:rRNA from 1 species
GACGAACGCUGGCGGCGUGCUUAACACAUGCAAGUCGAACGGAAAGGCCUCUUUCGGGGGGUACUCGAGUGGCGAACGGGUGAGUAACACGUGAGUAACCUGCCCUUGACUUUGGGAUAACUUCAGGAAACUGGGGCUAAUACCGGAUAGGAGCUCCUGCUGCAUGGUGGGGGUUGGAAAGUUUCGGCGGUUGGGGAUGGACUCGCGGCUUAUCAGCUUGUUGGUGGGGUAGUGGCUUACCAAGGCUUUGACGGGUAGCCGGCCUGAGAGGGUGACCGGCCACAUUGGGACUGAGAUACGGCCCAGACUCCUACGGGUGGCAGCAGUGGGGAAUAUUGCACAAUGGGUGGAAGCCUGAUGCAGCAACGCCGUGUGCGGGAUGACGGCCUUCGGGUUGUAAACCGCUUUCGCUCAUGACGAAGCUUUGUGUGACGGUAGUGGGUAAAGUAGCACCGGCUAACUACGUG